rnacentral:misc_RNA from 1 species
GUUAAAAUUUAUGUCAUGCAAACCAUCAUUGGUAGAUCACAAAUCCAUAUCUGCUUCGACAAUUUCUAUCGAUUCACUUACUGACACUCAAUCAGAUAAUGGGGAUCAGCUUAAUGCAGUGGAUAUUGAUAUAAGAAGAACCAAACGAAACAAAUGCGAACCUAGUUGCUCACAUCCACGGGCAUCAACCUUACUAGCAGAACUCAAUCAGCUUGGGAAUGAAAAGGCUGUUAGCAGUAAUCUUCCGUCUUCUCUUGAACUUGAUCUCAUGG